rnacentral:rRNA from 1 species
UACGUAGGGGGCAAGCGUUGUCCGGAAUCAUUGGGCGUAAAGAGCGUGUAGGCGGCUCGAUAAGUCUGCUGUGAAAGUCCAGGGCUCAACCCUGGAAGGCCGGUGGAAACUGUCGGGCUAGAGUCCGGAAGAGGCGAGUGGAAUUCCCGGUGUAGCGGUGAAAUGCGCAGAUAUCAGGAGGAACACCUGUGGUGUAGACAGCUUGCUGGACCAUCACUGACGCUGAGGCACGAAAGCGUGGGUAGCAAACAGG